rnacentral:rRNA from 1 species
AUUGAACGCUGGCGGCAGGCUUAACACAUGCAAGUCGAGCGGAGAUGAGGUGCUUGCACCUUAUCUUAGCGGCGGACGGGUGAGUAAUGCUUAGGAAUCUGCCGAUUAGUGGGGGACAACAUUCCGAAAGGAAUGCUAAUACCGCAUACGUCCUACGGGAGAAAGCAGGGGAUCUUCGGACCUCGCGCUAAUAGAUGAGCCCAAGUCGGAUUAGCUAGUUGGUGGGGUAAAGGCCUACCAAGGCGACGAUCUGUAGCGGGUCUGAGAGGAUGAUCCGCCACACUGGGACUGAGACACGGCCCAGACUCCUACGGGAGGCAGAAGUGGGGAAUAUUGGACAAUGGGGGGAACCCUGAUCCAGCCAUGCCGCGUGUGUGAAGAAGGCCUUAUGGUUGUAAAGCACUUUAAGCGAGGAGGAGGCUACUGAGACUAAUACUCUUGGAUAGUGGACGUUACUCGCAGAAUAAGCACCGGCUAACUCUGUGCCAGCCGCCGCUGUAAUAC